rnacentral:lncRNA from 1 species
UGCCUCUAUUAAAGUGUGUGUUCCUUUCUCCCUUCCCCUGCUCCAUGCUGGGAUUUUAGGGCCAAGUCCUGAUCUCUGGGUACAAAGCUGGUUUCCUUGCUCCUGCUAUGAUUUGGUUCCACCCACAAGACAAUGGGCCUACUUUUUUCUAGAGUCAAAGGCCCUUUGUGUUCGGGCCCAGGAGUUUCACCUGAACUUGUGCCAAAGCUCAAGACUUCCUGUUCUGUCCCUUCCAGGUCAUCUUGGAAUCUGCAGGCUUGUGGGUGGCAUAGGGGUCCUAAGUUGUGACCAUGGAAAUGGGAAGCUUUUGGGGACCCCAGACAGUUGUGCUCAGGAAAGUCUUCUAGGCCUGUUGGCAGAAGAAGCAGAUUUGUGGGCUAGGACAUCUGGGUCCUGGUGCUGGUGACUGAGCUCUGACCUUGAAUGAGGAGACUUAUUUCUCUAGGCCUUAGUUUUGCCUGCCGCACAAUGGGGAGAUUUGACUAGAGGAACUCAAGCCCUACAGCUUGAAUGCCCUGGCCGUGCAUUGUCUUUCCUCUUCCUCACUGAAGUCUGUAUCAUCCCUUCAGAGCCCAAGGAUCCACCACAAAGAUACAAUAAAUUUGGUUAAAGUCUGUAUGAGACGGGACCAACUGCCAGGCAAAGAAUCUGAGGCCCAGAGACAUUACAAAUAGCUUGCCCGAAGUGUCACAGUGGGGAUUCAGGAGCAGGAACUCCAGCGCAGGUGGUCUGGCUCUGGAACAGGUGCUCUCAGGCCCUGUCCAGACUUGGAGUAUUUUGAAGCAUAUCCCAGACUUCAAAUCAUUUUAUCUGUAAAUAUUUCAGUUGUGUUACUAAAAUAUCGGGGCUCUGUAUAAAACAUAACCACAAUGCCAUUGUCACACUAAAAAUUAAUACUUCCUCAAUAUCAUAAAAUAUUUAAUGUUUAAAUUUCUGCAAUUGUCUC